rnacentral:lncRNA from 1 species
GGUUUACUCUAGAUCAUCCCCAUAGGGUUUAGUUCCUUUAAUCAAGACGUAGUUAAUUGAAUCCAUAGGUUCAUCGGAAGAGAAGAGAUGGUGUUGGUGGCGGAGACGUUUUGUUCGCCGAAGGAGAUGGUGUUAAUGGAGGUGAAAGUGACGGCGGUAAAAGAGUUGGCGGAGCCGGAGCGAGCACAACGGUGAGAACCGAUGGUUGUAAUCGGAGAAGCUAGGUUGUU